rnacentral:rRNA from 1 species
GAUGAACGCUAGCUACAGGCUUAACACAUGCAAGUCGCGGGGCAGCAUGAAUUUAGCUUGCUAAAUUUGAUGGCGACCGGCGCACGGGUGAGUAACGCGUAUCCAACCUGCCCAUGUCCACGGGAUAGCCCCGUCGAAAGGCGACUAAUAUCCCAUAUGAUGGCGAUCUGCAUGGAUUGUCAUUGAAAGNUUCAUCGGUGGCGGAUAGGCUCGCGGGGCAUUAGCUAGACGGCGGGGCAACGGCCCACCGUGGCGACGAUGCCUAGGGGUUCUGAGAGGAAGACCCCCCACACUGGGACUGAGACACGGCCCAGACUCCUACGGGAGGCAGCAGUGAGGAAUAUUGGUCAAUGGGCGGAAGCCUGAACCCAGCCAUGCCGCGUGAAGGACUAAGGCCCCU